CUUACUUUCACUCUCGCUCAAAUUCUCUCUCACUCUCAGUCUCAUUCUCACUCUCUGUACUCAUCUCUUUAUCAGAUCUAUGAAGUUUGUCAAAGAUUUGAAGGUUGAUUCUUGAAGAUUCGAAGAUCUAUGAAGUUUGUUGAAGAUUUGAAGGUUGAUUCUUGAAGAUUCGAAGGUUGAUUCUCCAGAUUUGCAGUUUCUCUCACUCUCGCUCUCGUUCGAAUUCUCUCUGUCGCAGGCUCACUCUCGCUCUUGCUCGAAUUCUCUCACUCUCACUCUUUGUACUCAUCUCUUCAUUAGAUUCGAAGGUUGAUUCUUGAAGAUUCGAAGGUUGAUUCUCCAGAUUUGCAGUUGUCUCUUUCGAUUUUAUCUCAUCGUUCAUUAAUUGGUCGAUUAAUCUACAUGAAACCUGUUUGAUAUUUGGCUUCUCAAAUCUGUUUAAAAGAGGCUCUUAGAAUUCAUACUUGCUGCAUUCCAUCGAUCUCCUGAUUUUGUUGCACUUCUGAAGGUUUGGAGUGGAAUCUGCACCUGCAAUUGUAUUUUUGAAAGAACAUGGAAUCAAACCUGUUGUGUACCAUGGUUGUCAAUCUAAAUAUUGGUGCUAAUCGGCAUAUACUUGCAAAUUCUGAACACCUUGGAGACAAGUCGACAACUCAGGUGGAAGUUUGGGUUGAUGUGACCAGUUGUGAGAAACAGCUUUUAGAACUGCUUGAUGUAGUGAAUUGCUAUUAGAGUAUUGUGUAUUGUUGUUAGAUUAGCUACUAGUUAUUAAUUUGUAUUGAUGCUUAAAGCUGUUAAUUUGUAUUGAUACUUUGGAUUGAAUAGUAUGUCAUCUUUGCUUCA